AAAGCGUGAGCAGCAGCAUUUGGUUAAGAAGCAAGCUGAAAGUAUGGAGGGCAUUGAUAACCCGUGGGCCAUGGACAAAAAUGGAAGUCUGAAAAGCUUAGAGAAACUAGAGCACAUGAAUAACGGGAGAAGCGAGGUAUUAUCAUUUGACAACAUAUACAGCACCAGAGGAGGUGAGGCUGACAAAGAUGAAAUGCAGGCCCCUGAAAAAGGCAAUUACCUUGAGACAAUACUGGCAGAUUACAAUAGUGAACAUGAGUAUGAAAAAGCUGCUGAACUUGGAAACACGGAGGCCCAGCCCGCUGUGGCAUUCAUAACAAAACAGGACUCCUUUCUGACAGACACAGCCCAGAAAUCCGCUCCUCCCAUACCACCUCAGCCCCCGUCAGCUGCCCCUGGAAAAGAACUGAAAGGAGUAAAAUUCUCAGAAGUGGCAGUGAUUUUGGACGCAGAUGACGAGCCCGAAGAUUACGAGCCCGAAGAUGAUGAGCCUGAAGGCGAUGAGGCUGGCUAUGACAUCUCUUUAUAAUAAGGACACUUGAUGACGAAAAGCACGAUGACAGGACAGAAUUUAAUGAGCAACAAUAUGGGGACGCUAUCCAGAUUUUAAUUCUGCUACUGCUGUUAUAAGAGAACAAGCAAUUUGCCGAAGGUGCUGCUCUGCAGGGCUGCUCCCCCAGCACCGGCGCUGUCUCGCUGUGUAUUUAAUUUCCUCUGCCGCGUGUCGAAUAGCCAAGACAAUAAACCCGAUUCCCAAGUACUUCUCA
rnacentral:lncRNA from 1 species